GGGGCCUUAGCUCAGCUGGGAGAGCACCUGCUUUGCAAGCAGGGGGUCGUCGGUUCGAUCCCGACAGGCUCCC
rnacentral:tRNA from 1 species